AGCAUAUCAAUAAGCGGAGGAAAAGAAAAUAACAAUGAUUUCCCUAGUAACGGCGAGUGAAGAGGAAAGAGCUCAAAGUUGGAACCUGUUUGGCCUAGCUAAACCGGAUUGUAGACUGUAGAAGUGUUUUCCAGGCAAGCCGAGUAAAUAAGUCCUUUGGAACAGGGCAUCAUAGAGGGUGAGAAUCCCGUCUUUGGCUUGAGCAUUUGCCUUUUGUGAUACGCUUUCAAAGAGUCAGGUUGUUUGGGAAUGCAGCCUAAAUUGGGUGGUAAAUCUCACCUAAAGCUAAAUAUUGGCGAGAAACCGAUAGCGAACAAGUACCGUGAGGGAAAGAUGAAAAGAACUUUGAAAAGAGAGUUAAACAGUAUGUGAAAUUGUUAAAAGGGAACCGUUUGGAGCCAGACUGGCUUGUCUGUAAUCAAUCUAGGCUUCGGCCUGGAUGCACUUGCAGGCUAUGCCUGCCAACGACAAUUUGACUUGAGGGAAAAAACUAAGGGAAAUGUGGCCCACUUGUGGGUGUUAUAGUCCCUUAGAAAAUACCUUGGGUUGGAUUGAGGAACGCAGCGAAUGCUUUUUGGCGAGUUUUCCAGGAAGGUUUUCUGAGGUACUACGGUAUCAAGGUUGAUCUUUUUGGUUAUACUUCUAUUCGCUUAGGUUGUUGGCUUAAUGACUCUAAAUGACCCGUCUUGAAACACGGACCAAGGAGUCCACCAUUAGUGCGAGUAUUUGGGUGCCAAACCCAUAUGCGUAAGGAAACUGAUUGAUACGAAUCCAUUAAGGAGGCAGUAUCGUCCGGCGCUGACGUUUUAUACUGAAUUGACCGAGACAAAGCACUAAUGAUGGGACCCGAAAGAUGGUGAACUAUGCCUGAAUAGGGUGAAGCCAGAGGAAACUCUGGUGGAGGCUCGUAGCGAUUCUGACGUGCAAAUCGAUCGUCAAAUUUGGGUAUAGGGGCGAAAGACUAAUCGAACCAUCUAGUAGC
rnacentral:rRNA from 1 species